ACAAAACUCUUUUGAGACAGCAUCAAGCCUGAUGUGUGGAAAUGGACAAGAGGACUGAUGCCUGAUUAAUGAGCACAAACCCUGAGUGCUCUGCUCUCUUCACAUGAUAAUCAUUUUCAAUGGCAGAUGGGGUAUCUCAUCCACACCACCCUCUGAAUGUAUCUGACUAUGGAAAGGAGACCUUUGGCUCCAGACUGCCUGAUCUAGUCUAACGCAGAGGUCUACGGCUGCUCCAACAUUGCAGCGAACAGAUGGGUGACAGAAGAACCUUUCAGGCAAACAGCAAUGCUUCCUCAUGUGGUAGAAUAACAGAGAGUUGCUGAUUAAGAUGGGUUAUGCUGAGAAGUGAUAGCAGACAACCAGUGUUACUGCAGCAGGAAACUCUGCCUGCUUCCUCCCUGGAGUGCCAAAAACAGAGUGAAAACAAAACGAUUGAUUUGUGUAUGGAUUAGAAGAUCAACAAUUACGUGGGGCUCAUUUUACACUCAAACACAAUGUAAGUCUUUUCUUUUGAGAUGUCAUCUUCUGUUUAGGUGCUUGGCAGAAAAAUGUUACAAGAAAGCAUUGUUAUAAAAAGGGACAAUAUAGUUAGAGUAAAUUUGUAAAUUUUCUGAAGAAAACUCACCACCACAAUUCUAGUCUCUUGAAUGGUUGCAAGGGUGUUGAGAAGCUGUUGCUAUGGUGUUUUGGAAGACUACUUAUCAGUGCAAUUCAAGAGCCCAGCCCCAAGUCUGUAUAAUAUUCUGGUCCCUAGAAAUGGCUGGAGUCCCUCCUUUAACUCUUAAACUGAUGGUUGUUUCUUCAAACAUUUUUACAUAUCUUGGGUCUAAAGCAAACUGGCACAGACAUCUAAAAAAUGAAGAAUGCUCAGGUAGUGUAAAAAAUUCAAAGCAUUUUCAAGACAAUUAGAAUAGAAUAGAAUAGACCAGUAAUAGAAUAUACUAUAUUCUGUUAUAUUUGGAUGUUUCAUGUAUGAAAGAGAUGAUGCAAUAAAUGAUAUAUUGGAGAUUCAUUACUUUUACUCAGAAAUUGUAUGAGACGCAACAUUACACAUAACACAUAAACUACAAAUGUAUUUUCACAUUGAGUCUAAAAAAAAGAACAGAAUUUCAGUAGUACACCCAAAUGGCAAUAGACAUAUCAUGUGGUUCAUGUGUUGUACUUGCUAUAGUUUACUUCACAUUGAUAAUUCACUUCAUUGAUCAGAACAUUGACAUGAUAUAAUAGUCAUUUAUAUGAAUAUAGUACUCAUUUGUCUUGUAUGCAUUUAAGGGUUAACCAGGUGUAAUCAGGACCAUAAACACUUUUUUCCCAGGGCUGUUUGCGUAUAACAAUUUCUAAGGAUCAAUAUUUGCACAUACCCUUGAUAUACCCACUUGUUUUGUUGCAUCAGAAGUCCAUAGUCUUCUGUUGCGUUAGUUUCCCUUUAACUGUAUUGGAUUAUUGUCGUUGUUUUGGCAGUAUGUCCGAACUGUUUUUCAAUGUGAAUGAGCACCUGUAUAAAAUGGUUAAUU